rnacentral:rRNA from 1 species
UACGUAGGGUGCGAGCGUUGUCCGGAAUUACUGGGCGCAAAGAGCUCGUAGGCGGUGUGUCGCGUCGGCCGUGAAAACUUGCAGCUUAACUGUGGGCGUGCGGUCGAUACGGGCAUCACUGGAGUUCGGCAGGGGAGACUGGAAUUCCUGGUGUAGCGGUGAAAUGCGCAGAUAUCAGGAGGAACACCGGUGGCGAAGGCGGGUCUCUGGACAGUUCCUGACGCUGAGGCACGAAGGUCAGGGGAGCAAACGGG